rnacentral:rRNA from 1 species
CCUACGGGAGGCAGCAGUAGGGAAUCUUCCACAAUGGACGAAAGUCUGAUGGAGCAACGCCGCGUGAGUGAAGAAGGUUUUCGGCUCGUACAACUCUGUUGGUAGGGAAGAAAGAACGAGGUAGUAACUAGCCUUUAUUUGACGGUAAUUACUUAGAAAGUCACGGCUAACUACGUGCCAGCAGCCGCGGUAAUACGUAGGUGGCAAGCGUUGUCCGGAUUUAUUGGGCGUAAAGCGAGUGUAGGCGGUUUAAUAAGUCUGAUGUGAAAGCCUUCGGCUCAACCGGAGAGUGGCAUCAGAAACGGUUGAAGUUGAGUGCAGAAGAGGAGAGUGGAACUCCAUGUGUAGCGGUGGAAUGCGUAGAGAUAUGGAAGAACACCAGUGGCGAAGGCGGCUUUCUGGUCUGCAACUGACGCUGAGGUUCGAAAGCAUGGGUAGCGAACAGGAUUAGAUACCCGUGUAGUC